rnacentral:lncRNA from 1 species
UCCAUAAUUGGCAUUCCACGCUCCUCCGAAGACUUAAAUUGAUGUCCAACGCUCCAAAACUAAACAAUGAUUAUGAAAAGCCAUUAAUAUAAAGGAUAAACUUCACAUAUUAAUCUAAUUUAUAUCAAUUUCCUAACCCCGAUCAGAAAAUUAACAAAAACGCCCUCAGGGCCACGUGCCCAGAUUCCGAAAUUUCGAAACUAGAGCAUAACAACAUAUUGGUAAUUCUGAAGGUCUAUUUAAUCAAAGAGAGUCGCUACCUAAUUAUUUUUACAGUGAAUUAUGACACCAAUUUUAGCUAAGUAAUACUUAAAAGUUAACUCUAUUUUUAUGAUAUGCUUAACCUUAACAAUUCUAGGCAAGGAUUCAAAUUAAUCCUAUAGGGAAGGUUGUUAAAGCAUCCUAUAUGAUCCGUUAAAAGCGGUUAACCAGUCAAACUUAGAUUAAUUAAUGACAACAUGUGUGUAUUUAAACAAAUAUUUGUCAAUUGCAUUAAAAAUACGUGUGUAAUAAAGUUAGGAAGAAAGGGGUUUAUAUCUUUAAACAAACAAUUGUUUAAAUUUUGAAGGAAAUAAACUAAUAAUAAAAGAAUAUCCAAAUCUGAAAAUACUCAAGAAAUUAAACCACUACAAAUUAGUCCCUAGAGUGACUUAUAUGGUUUACCUCAUUUAUAAGGAAAAAGCUCCAUUUUAGCAAUAUUGAAACGAGACUAACAAUUAGCUUUUUGAAAGCAUCAAUUUAACAAAGUGACUUCUAAAAAUGUGCUUAAAAUACAGUAAUAAUUUUACUAGGAAAUGUAUACGCUAAUGGUAAAUAUUUGAAGAAAUUACUAAAUUAUUGAUGUUAGAUCCCUUAUUCUAGUUGUCAUGUUUUAUGUGAUAUUAGUACUAAAUCAAAGUGUCUGAAUAAUUAAAUUCAUACACAAAAAUAACAACCCAAAUACACAAACAAUAUCAUACAAGUUAGAAUAAAACGAAUGACCAAAAGAAUUUAAAGGAAGGACGCCAUAGGCGCCCCCAAGCGUAUUGCGUGUUUUUUCUUGCUAUCCGAUGCGUUCUAAGGAAGACGGUAUGUGAUGCGAUGUCUCCGUGUGGUGGUGGUAGCGUUGAGUCUCGAGGGAGACUCCAUUUUUGCUCCAAGUGCGUAUGCAAGACAAAGAAUGGAGAAAACAAUUAGAGGGAAAAUCUUCUGUUCAGCAAAUAAGUAAAGAACUAAAGAAAUGCAGAAUCCAAGUAAUCAAACGUGACUAUGUUAGCAAAUAAACUCACAUUACUGAACCUUCUUCAUGGGGUUCCUAAAGAAUCAUGCUAUCUUUAAUUUUAAACCCAAAAAUUACCUAUCACUACCAACUGUAUGUUAAACACCUUAGUUAUAAUUAUUUAGCUUCUAAUGGGAUAAGUUAUAUUCCAGGGAACCAAUCAAACAUAUAGGAAAGUAUGCUUCUUCUUCAGCAAUUAGGCGUGUAAAUAGAGUACUAGUUUCAAAUAAAGAUAAAGAAGUAAAUAUAAAAAUAUUCUUUAAGUUAUGCCCAUUAAACAAAUUAUAUGCAUCAUCACAAACCCGCUUGAUCAAUUUCACCUUAGGAAUUUAACUAAGCUAAAAGUGAAUUCAAAAGAUCAUACAGAAAUAUAAGCCCAUGAUUCCUAAAGUGUGGACAACAACUAAAUAUUCUUAACACAUGAUUCUUAAUAGGGGCAAAUAACCGAAUGAUAGAGCAAACUAAAUGAUACCAAAGAUUAGCGAGAAGUAUGCUAGAUGUCCAUUCUUUUACACGAGAGUGCAUGAGUCUCAACAUCCAUAUUAUAUUGGUUAGUCAUCUUAGUUUAGAAUGAGGAUUUCUACUGAUAAUAUUUUCAUUCCUCGGACAGCUAGUUAAAAAUAAAAUAAUACACUUCAUGAAAGACGCAAGAUAAAUGGAACACAUAAUCAAGAACUCAUACAACCAAAAUAUAACAUAUCUUAGCUCUACAAAUCAUUUCAAUAAGUCAUUUGUUCAGCUCAUGGUCUCCACGAUUUAUUAAGACUUAAUCUAGAUUUCAAAAAAAUAUUCAAAGAUUGCGUAAUACAUAUCUUAGCUCUACAAAUCAUUUCAAUAAGUCAUUUGUUCAGCUCAUGGUCUCCACGAUUUAUUAAGACUUAAUCUAGAUUUCAAAAAAAUAUUCAAAGAUUGCGUAAUACAUAUCUUAGCUCUACAAAUCAUUUCAAUAAGUCAUUUGUUCAGCUCAUGGUCUCCACGAUUUAUUAAGACUUAAUCUAGAUUUCAAAAAAAUAUUCAAAGAUUGCGUAAUACAUAUCUUAGCUCUACAAAUCAUUUCAAUAAGUCAUUUGUUCAGCUCAUGGUCUCCACGAUUUAUUAAGACUUAAUCUAGAUUUCAAAAAAAUAUUCAAAGAUUGCGUAAUACAUAUCUUAGCUCUACAAAUCAUUUCAAUAAGUCAUUUGUUCAGCUCAUGGUCUCCACGAUUUAUUAAGACUUAAUCUAGAUUUCAAAAAAAUAUUCAAAGAUUGCGUAAUACAUAUCUUAGCUCUACAAAUCAUUUCAAUAAGUCAUUUGUUCAGCUCAUGGUCUCCACGAUUUAUUAAGACUUAAUCUAGAUUUCAAAAAAAUAUUCAAAGAUUGCGUAAUACAUGAUAUCUAGUGUAUGGACAAGAACUAGAAAAUUUUCAACGUAUGAUUUUUAAACAAACGAUGAACAUGGAGCAAUAACAUGAACAUUUUAUGACAUGUUAAACAAAUUUAACGAUGCGAACAGAAACACAUUUUUAUUCUAGAAUCGAAUGAGGAGAAGAGUCACUGACCUUUUGCAGGGCAGUAACUGAGGUGCAGAUCUUAGAAAUACUAUUAAAUUCCGACCUUGAACCCGCUUCUUCAGACAACUAUGAAAGUUGAAGCGAGCAAAUUAACGGAUCUUGCUAUGGCUAAAAGAGAACCAAAUAGAAGCUGGAAGGCCACAAAACAAGAACACUAGAUUUUAGAGAAAAUUGUUUAGGGUAGUGAAAACAAUAAGCUUCUAAGAGAUAGCAGCUGAAGCUUUAGGAUUUUUAGGGGGUAAAGCUGCCACCAAAAAAAAAACCUCCUCCAAAAUAGACACCAAUAAGAUGUAUUUAUAGAGACAAUUUUAGGGCUAGGGAACCAUUGAGCGGGAAUUGGACUAACAGUUUGAACUUUGAACAAAAACCCUUUGAACGUUGGACCAAAUCUUUGAUGCAAGGACCAAAUCUAAAUUCUCUGAAAAGUAAUUUUGUCUCUUUCUCAUGAUCCUCUUGACCGAGCUUUUCUGGGAGAGAAGAACGUUGGAGAGGCGACAAGGAAGAGAAAUGAGUGGGUAUUUUUUUAAAAAAUGGCAUGGACAAGCUAUGUCAAGGCUAAAAGGUACUGAGCAUUUAACAUGAAAAGGGAAGAAGAUGGGAGGCGCGCG